UUUGUGUGUGUCCUUUGCAGAUAUUUGCAAAUUCUAUUUAUACGCAAUCUCUACUGUAACCCCCGCUGGUUAAGUGGGUAAUUUAUUAUGAUGGAUACCUAAUAAGAUGCCGCAAAAGGUGUUUAGCUAAAAAAAAAUAAGAAGAUUAUUCGCAUUGAAAUGAACGUCAACGCGUUUUAAGUACGCUCUGCACUCGCUGUGGGCGCGAGGAGAAAAAAAGAGAGGAAGACAUAAAGGAAUCAAAAGCGGAACGUGACUUUUGGCGAAAGUAAAUUGAAGCCACAGCGCGAUAAAAACUGCAAUGGCAACCUGAACG